UUGAAGUAACCAGAACCGCAAGUACAUGUCUUCAAGGCUUUGAUUUGAGCUGAGGUGAGAGCAAGUGAUUUGCGGAAGCUACAGCUCAGGUUCUGAUGAACCUGGCUCUGAUACCAUGUGAGAUUUAUAGAGUUCUCUUCUCUGGUUGUGUUUGUGUGUGUAUAAACUCCAAUGGAGAAAGAUUAGAGCUUGCUCUAGGUGAUUUAGAAAGAGAUUGAUAAGAGUGUUUAUGAGAGAAUAAGAGACUUAGAACCAGAGAUUAAGAGACUGAAAGAUUAAGAGAAUAAGUGUUUAGAGAUUAGAGUUUCAGAUUCAAGAACUAGUUUUCAUUUCCAUGAAGUGGAGAGGGUAAAUCCCCCUUACUCCCUUAACCUUUACAAAUCGCCAACCUUAGGCUUAUAUAUGCCUUUACAAGAGCAAAUCAUAAACCUAAAUCUAAUGGCUGAUAAUACUUGAAGUUUAAAUGGAUGGUGUAGAUGAGCUGGUCUUGUUUGUCAUGAGGAGAAGGUGAUCUGAUUGGAAAGAAGAGGCUGGCGCCUCAUUGGCUCAUUCAAACUAGGCUGGCUCUUGAUUGGUUCUUCUUUGGCUCCUUUGUAUCAAGCUUGGAAUCAGUCUAGGUUCAUAGUCAAGGCUGCCUUUACUUUACAGCCAAGGCCAGCCUGUCUUGAACCUUAUCCACGUCCAAAGCUCCUCCAAGGGAUCUCCACUUGAUUCCCUUUUGAUGCCAUCUGAUCAGAACCUUAUCCAUUCGCCCAACACCUUUUCUUUAUGUCCCAAGCUUUGCACAACACCAUCAGGAGGUGUACGGACCAUUCCAUAUCCGUACCCUUGCGCCCUAACUUUGCACAAAGCUUAAAACACCCAAAUGGUCGAGUCUGCACUUCUAGGGUAGUCCACCGUCCGUACUGAUCCGUACAUGGCCGUACAGCCUCGCCCUAUCUUUGCACACUCGCCCAUUUGCUUCUCAACACUCUUCUAAGUCUCUCCUAGACUUUACCCUUACUUUAGAACAUCCAUCAGAUCACUUCUCUACACCUUCAGAUACUUCAUAACUCUUGAUAGGCAUUCUCCAUAGCUCUUGCCCUAUCUUUGUACAAGCCACAUCUCAACUCCACACCUUUGCCUUCUCCAUUUCUUUUCUUCAAGUUAACACUCCCCCUCAAGCUUGACUUUAGCUGAUCCUAAGUCAAGCUUGGAACCUUGAAGAACUUCCUCAUUAAAAACCUAACCAAGGAAAACCCUUUGGGACAAAACCUUGAUGAGGAAAAAAGAGUAAAGCCUCCAAGGCCUAGGGAUUGGCCAGUGAGUCAUUGUGCCUUACCGACAAUGUAAGGGACACAAAGACUCUGGAUCAUGGCCCUCAUAUGAUGCAAGAUAGAACCCACUCCUCUUGCUCAUCAUCAACACUUCUUGUACUCUUCUUCAGAUAGAUCUUGGUCUCUCCCCCUUUCUCACAACCUUCUUGUUGUGUAUCAAGUGCUCGGACUACCAGAUCUUCUUUGAUAGAUACAAGCUGAGUCUUGGCUGCUUCUUCUUCAUGAGUCACCACCAUGUUACUGAAACCUUCAUGACAGGAUGCUUCAGACUGUAGUACCAAUCACCUCACUCUAGAGGCCGCAUUGGUGAUUGCUUCUUCAUCCUUCAUUACCCUUCAUAACUGAUCUGCUCCUCUUCUUGAAUAACCACCAAGUACUCUCAGAUCAUGUAAGCUUCAACACUCCCCCUCAAGCUUGAGACUCUUACAGGAACAAGCUUGGAUGGAUAGCUUCAUAAUCUGUACCAUUACUCCAUUGCAACACCUUCUGAACUCGCCAUCUUCAUGGAGUGCUUGUGGAAGCUUCAGCUACCUCUUCAGCCACCUCACUUUAGAAGCCGCACUGAUAGAGUCUUCAUCUUCUCACAGCCAAGAGUGCUCUGAACACUCUCUUGCCUAGACACGCCACUGCCUAGACCCUGAUGGCUCCUUCUUUUUCAGUUGCUUGCAAUGGACCUCCUGAACCUUCUUGGUCCGACUGAUAGCUCACUAAACUCCCCUCCUCAAGCUUGGAUUGAGUAUAGGUCCAAGCUUGCAAGUGAGCUUCAGUGAGACUACACACCAGUGGCGCAUCACCACUCUUGUAUCAACUCUCCAUUGCACACACAAUGGGCAAACGUCUCCUACUUUCAACUCUGAUGGAUGGUGAACCAAGAACACAUCUUGUGAACCUGAAACAUCACUCAAACUCCAGCAAAGAUGAGACACAAUAGUAUUGAGAUCAUUCCUUGAUAAAUCAUCAAGUUUGAUUCCCAAUAUCACAAGCAAUGCAACAGAUUAAACAAGACAGUAUCAAGUUCUAAUCUUUGCAAGCAAACUCUCUAAGCACAAGCACUUUCUUUUCCAGAUUUAUGCAAGCUACUUAGGCAUUUUUAAGGCUUCUUUACUCAGCAAUUUAGACAUGAAUCUAAUGCUUCAAUGUAAGACAGCCACAAGACUAUAUGCAACAACUUUCAAUCAGUUUCAAUACAUGUAUGCAAGCAGAUUCAAUCAAUCACAACAAGCAUCACUAUGAACUGGAGUUAAGCAUAUUAAACAAUCUCAAUCACCAAACAAAGCUCUUUAAGCAUCCUGGGACAGAUUCUAACAUUCAUUUAGCAAUCUUUAAACAAUCCUCAGGUUUUCAAACACAUCACAACACAACAACCAGAUUUUAUCACAAGCUCAUUAUCACUUAAGGUUUAAAGAAUCGCUUACUACCAAGGAACCAGGUUGGUCCUUGUAUCAUCCUCGGAUUGAAAGCUCAUGACUUUGAGGGUAUGAGAGACUGGAUCGUUACCCAUCUCCUUCUCCUUCAGUUCAUGACUUCCUCCUUGUUUCUCAUACUCACAAAACCCCUCCUUUCUUCAAGCCCUCUACUCGCCAUCUUCUGGAUAGCUUUCUCUUCACACCGGAUGAGGAACAGCCUUUGGACAAGGCGCCAUGGACAAGGUUCGCGAGGCCUCUCCACACACCUUUGCUUCCAACAAGAGUCUUCAUCAGGUACAGGUCGGAAUGGCUGAGAGAUAUGGAGUAACACGCCAUGCUUCAGUCUUCUUCUUCUUGAAGUAACCAGAACCGCAAGUACAUGUCUUCAAGGCUUUGAUUUGAGCUGAGGUGAGAGCAAGUGAUUUGCGGAAGCUACAGCUCAGGUUCUGAUGAUCCUGGCUCUGAUACCAUGUGAGAUUUAUAGAGUUCUCUUCUCUGGUUGUGUUUGUGUGUGUAUAAACUCCAAUGGAGAAAGAUUAGAGCUUGCUCUAGGUGAUUUAGAAAGAGAUUGAUAAGAGUGUUUAUGAGAGAAUAAGAGACUUAGAACCAGAGAUUAAGAGACUGAGAGAUUAAGAGAAUAAGUGUUUAGAGAUUAGAGUUUCAGAUUCAAGAACUAGUUUUCAUUUCCAUGAAGUGGAGAGGGGAAAUCCCCCUUACUCCCUUAACCUUUACAAAUCGCCAACCUUAGGCUUAUAUAUGCCUUUACAAGAGCAAAUCAUAAACCUAAAUCUAAUGGCUGAUAAUACUUGAAGUUUAAAUGGAUGGUGUAGAUGAGCUGGUCUUGUUUGUCAUGAGGAGAAGGUGAUCAGAUUGGAAAGAAGAGGCUGGCGCCUCAUUGGCUCAUUCAAACUAGGCUGGCUCUUGAUUGGUUCUUCUUUGGCUCCUUUGUAUCAAGCUUGGAAUCAGUCUAGGUUCAUAGUCAAGGCUGCCUUUACUUUACAGCCAAGGCCAGCCGGUCUUGAACCUUAUCCACGCCCAAAGCUCCUCCAAGGGAUCUCCACUUGAUUCCCUUUUGAUGCCAUCAGAUCAGAACCUUAUCCAUUCGCCCAACACCUUUUCUUUAUAUCCCAAGCUUUGCACAACACCAUCAGGAGGUGUACGGACCAUUCCCUAUCCAUACCCUUGCGCCCUAACUUUGCACAAAGCUUAAAACACCCAAAUGGUCGAGUCUACACUUCUAGGGUCGUCCACCGUCCGUACUGAUCCGUACAUGGCCGUACAGCCUCGCCCUAUCUUUGCACACUCGCCCAUUUGCUUCUCAACACUCUUCUAAGUCUCUCCUAGACUUUACCCUUGCUUAGAACAUCCAUCAGAUCACUUCUCUACACCUUCAGAUACUUCAUAACUCUUGGUAGGCAUUCUCCAUAGCUCUUGCCCUAUCUUUGUACAAGGCCUAGGGAUUGGCCAGUGAGUCUUUGUGCCUUACCAACAAUGUAAGGGACACAAAGACUCUGGAUCAUGGCCCUCAUAUGAUGCAAGAUAGAACCCACUCCUCUUGCUCAUCAUCAACACUUCUUGUACUCUUCUUCAGAUAGAUCUUGGUCUCUCCCCCUUUCUCACAACCUUCUUGUUGUGUAUCAAGUGCUCGGACUACCAGAUCUUCUUUGAUAGAUACAAGCUGAGUCUUGGCUGCUUCUUCUUCAUGAGUCACCACCAUGUUACUGAAACCUUCAUGACAGGAUGCUUCAGACUGUAGUACCAAUCACCUCACUCUAGAGGCCGCAUUGGUGAUUGCUUCUUCAUCCUUCAUUAUGCUUCAUAACUGAUCUGCUCCUCUUCUUGAAUAACCACCAAGUACUCUCAGAUCAUGUAAGCUUCAACAC
rnacentral:lncRNA from 1 species